UUCACGGAGAGUUUGAUCCUGGCUCAGGACGAACGCUGGCGGCGCGCCUAACACAUGCAAGUCGAGCGAGAACCGGGGCUUCGGCCCCGGGGAAAGCGGCGAACGGGUGAGUAACACGUGGGUAAUCUGCCCUCGGCACCGGGAUAGCCCGGGGAAACCCGGAUUAAUGCCGGAUGGCCCCUCAGCCCCUCGGGGCAGUGGGAAAAGGUAGCUUCGGCCUCUGGCUGAGGAUGAGCUCGCGGCGGAUUAGCUUGUUGGUGGGGUAAAGGCCCACCAAGGCGACGAUCCGUAGCUGGUCUGAGAGGACGAUCAGCCACACUGGGACUGAGACACGGCCCAGACU
rnacentral:rRNA from 1 species